CCAUAUUAAAUCGCAGAGUUGAGUCUAAUCGGCUAUUGGAGAGAACCAGAGUCAGAGAGCUAGCCAGCUCAUGUGAAAGUUCAGACUGUGUUGGAAUGUCGUGGUCUACAUCUGAAAGGAAGUGGAACUUUCACGGAACUUGUGGUUUUACCAGUGUACAUGAAACUGUCCAUUGUCAGACUGCAACCUGUAACCAGUGACCUGUAAUUCUGCUAGUAAUAGCACACAGAGAAUGGAAUCUCUUUGGUUUAUCUUGAUGAUUUUGUUCAUCGUCAAGCCACGGCAGUCUGUGGAGUCUGUGUUUCGAGAGAUCCAGCUUGGAGAUACUGCCAUUUUGCCCUGUGAUAUCUCUUAC